rnacentral:lncRNA from 1 species
GGGGACUCAAAUAAAAACAUUCCAGGGUUAUACGGUUAACGGUUUAUGAGUUUAAAAAAACAUACCGACAAAUUUAUUCCGUAAAGGUAGAUAACUCCUAUAAAAUUUCAUCGAAUCGCUUCGAUCCAAAUACGCCAAAAAUUACUGAGGAUGUAACGAACAAUUUGUAAAAAGAAUUUUGUCGCUAUCUUUUUUUGUUACGAAGGAGAUGCACACACAUGAUAAACAGUGAAUAGGGAGAUAACUCUUACAAAGAAAAUGGUUCGGCUUAGCAGGGUGAAAUUUAAAAGCGCAUAAACUAUACGAUACAAUAUGAGAAAUAUCUAAGCGACAUAUUGCGAAACAAACAUUUAUCGCAAGAACAAAAUUUGGCGGAAAAAAAAAAAAAAAAUAAUAAUAAUUAAAAACCAAUUGUUCAGAGAACAAUUGAAAGUCUUUCCACACCAAAGAAAUUUGGAUAAGAAGGUAGUUUCUUCAUACUGAUGCGAUAAAUAAUGGUUUAAUUAUAUUUUUGAGUGAUAUAAGGGAGAUAAUAUGCUACUUCCGGUGAAAUGAAUGUCACUUCCGGUCUCAUAUGAUAGCUUCUUUCACACUGAUUCCAAAAAUAUAUAGUUUCUAUAUACUUUUGUAUGUAGAAUGGGAGAUAAUUGGCCACUUCCGGUUUGUUGGAAGUCAUUUUUAGUCUUCAGUAAUCUGUUUAUGUAUCUAUAUGACAAAAUAUAUGGAUUCUGAGUACUUUUAUGUGAAAAAAUUGCAAAAAAAGCUACUUCCGGUUUUCUCAAAGGUCACUUCCGGUAGCCAUUUUUCAAGGUCAUUUGUCACUUAACCUUUUGUAUAAGGUCAAAUGUCUUUAUAAUGAACUUAAUUGAAGUUAUAAUCAAAUAACCUCAUAUCAAGACAUUUCAGGGGCACCAACUCCUAUAAGAUGCCAUUUAAUUGUAUAAGACUAAAUGUAGCAUAUCUUCAUUACAAUAAAGCUGACAUUUUGCACUUGUUCUUUUAUAUGUAUCUCUCAAAGUGUCAGAGAAAAUGCAAAAACAAGCAAAAGUCACAAUUGAGAACUUGACCUUGACCUUUGACCUUGACCUCAUUUUCUAAGUUAGGACCUAGGGGACUCAAAUAAAAACAUUCCAGGGUUAUACGGUUAACUGUUUAUGAGUUAAAAAAACAUACCGACAAAUUUAUUUUGUAAAGGUAGAUAACUCCUAUAAAAAUUUCAUCGAAUCGCUUCGAUCCAAAUACGCCAAAAAUUACUGAGGAUGUAACGAACAAUUUGUAAAAAGAAUUUUGUCGCUAUCUUUUUUUGUUACGAAGGAGAUGCACACAGAUGAUAAACAGUGAAUAGGGAGAUAACUCUUACAAAGAAAAUGGUUCGGCUUAGCAGGGUGAAAUUUAAAAGCGCAUAAACUAUACGAUACAAUAUGAGAAAUAUCUAAGCGACAUAUUGCGAAACAAACAUUUAUCGCAAGAACAAAAUUUGGCGGAAAAAAAAAAAAUAAUAAUAAUAAUCAGAAGAAAAACAAUAAGUCUUUCCACAGAAAAGUGAAAAGACUUAAUAAUCAGAACAAAACAAUAAGUCUUUCCACAGAAAAGUGGAAAGACUUAAUAAUCAGAACAAAAACAAUAAGUCUUUCCACAGAAAAGUGGAAAGACUUAAUAAUCAGAA